GUUGAUUUUGCUCCUAAUUUCAACAUGCCUAAUGAAAUAAAUAAUCAAAACAGUCUAAAAUUCUUCCUCCUCUCUGCCUCCUGCAAAAAGACAGCGUCUGGUAUUGUCCACCCAAGCUGGAGUGCAGUAGUAUGAACUUGGCUCACCGCAACCUCCGCUUCCUGGGCUCAAGCCAUCCUCCCACCUCAGCCUCUCAAGUAGCUGGGACUACAAGCUCACAUAACCACACCCUACUAAUUUUUGUAUUUCUUGUAGACAUGGGUUUUCAUGUUGCCCAGGAUGGUCUCAAACUCCUGAGCUCAAGCGAUCUGCCUGCCUUGGCCCCCCAAAGUGUGGAGAUUACAG
rnacentral:lncRNA from 1 species